rnacentral:rRNA from 1 species
CUAUACAUGAACUCUGCGCAUAUCAAUAAGCGGAGGAAAAGAAACUAACAAGGAUUCCCCUAGUAACGGCGAGUGAAGCGGGAAGAGCUCAAAUUUGAAAUCUUAAAGGGUUUCCCUUUACGAAUUGUAGUUUAAAGAAGUGUUUUCUGUUGAGGUUUUGGUAAAAGUUCUUUGGAAUAGGACAUCAUAGAGGGUGAGAAUCCCGUAUUUGACCUUUACUUUCAACUUUGUGAUACACUUUCAAAGAGUCGGAUUGUUUGGGAAUGCAGUCCAAAAUGGGUGGUAAAUUUCAUCUAAAGCUAAAUAUUGGCGAGAGACCGAUAGCGAACAAGUACCGUGAGGGAAAGAUGAAAAGAACUUUGAAAAGAGAGUUAAACAGUACGUGAAAUUGUCAAAAGGGAAGCGUUUGACACCAGUGUUGUUUUUCUGAAAAUCAAUUAAAGAACUGUUUAUGCUAAGUUGUUUAGACUUUAUCAGCUAACUGUUUAGUUUUGAGCUUUUCUUUAAUGCACUUUUCAGUUAACAAGUCAACAUCAAUUUCUUUUGCUGUAAAAAAGCUUGAGGAAGGUGGCUUGAGAUUCGUCUUAAGUGUUUAUAGCCUCUUGCCUAUGCAGUCGGAGAGAUUGAGGUCUGCAGCGUAGAUCCUUCGGGGCUAAAUGCAUUUGUGCUAAGUUAUAGCAUUUUAUAGACAACUUGUUGACUAUGAUUUGUCUUGUAGCUUACUCGCUUAUGUUAUUUUACCUACGCUUAGGAUGUUGAGCGCAUGUCUCUCUCU